rnacentral:lncRNA from 1 species
UCAAUAACCCUCUCAGACUCUCACUCACUCACUCGGCCGUCUCUCUCUCCCUCUCUCACUCACGAAACUCACGAAACCAAACCCUACACUAUUUCUCUCCCGAUCUCUCUCACUCACUCACUCACUCACUCGGCCGUCUCUCUCUCUCUCUGUCUCUCUCUCGACUCGUCCCUUGGCUCUCUCUCACUCUUAGUCACAUCUUUAAGUCUCUUAGAGUCGCGCGAGAUUCAUUCUCUUUCUCCAAACCGAACCAAACAUCAUCCAAUUUUAUUGGUUUUUGGAGCGAAUCCUUGUAAAUUCUGGAGGGCUCUGGUUCAUUCUAAGGUAAUUUGUAUGUAUUUGGUUUGAAUUCUUAGUUGUUUUCAUUUUCCCUAAUUUAGUAGAUUAUUAGGGUUCUGAAAUUUUGGUAUUCUGUUGUAAUUAACACAAUUUGUUCUUAAUUUUGCAGUAGUUGUGCUUAGUCUCUGUGGGUUUGGAUUAAUAGGCAAAAUUGAAGGUAUAAAUAUUUCUGUCUCAAUCUCUAUUUGUGGCUUAAAAUUGAAUGUGUGCAUUAGAAUUACAUAUUUUUAUAUCAUCAGCUCCACAUGGCUUUACUUUCGAUGUAUGGAUUUUUGGUAUUUCUUUCUUUAUGCUUAUGGUUUAGGCUGUUUAGGGGGUCCAAUUUGAGCUGGAUUGUUCCACAAUCUUGUGUGGCUUUAUUCUGCGAGAGGCCUAAGUUGUUUGGUGAUAGUAAGAGGGGUGUGGUUCUGGGGAUAAUUCUUUCGUUUCUAUAUAUUCAGUUUGGAGAGUUGUUUCCUAGUGCCUUGUUCUGUUGUUGUGGAUGCUUGUUUUUGCUGCUUUUGCUGAGAGCUUUUUUAGCGUAGUGGACUUCUUGUCCUCUGUUUUUGUAUUUGUUUGCUUUAAUCAAUGAAUUCUGUUUCAUAUAAAAUAAAAUAUGAUCUAGUCAUUUAGUGUAAAGUUACCUAGGAGGUACCUGUUAGAAAUCCAUGCAAUAUAUAAAGUGUUAACCUUGCUCAUAAAUAUGGUAUAAUGUUCAUUAAAAUAUUAAUAUAAAAGAAAUGAACGGAUUUUUGAAGAUGCGAGGGGCAGAAGUGGAGGAGGUGCGGGAAAAAGCAAAGUACUGGGCAGUGCUGUAGGCUUCUGUUUCUCCUAUUUUUGGGAAUUCAUCUCUUUCAACCAUUUUGCUUGAUUGGGCUGCAGUGUCUUCAUUAGGAUUGUUUUUCUCAUAGUUGUAAAUGUCGGUACUAGUUUUCUUGUUUCCUUCUAUUAUUGCUGGAAUACUUGUCCACUUUUCUGUAUGGUUUUUUAAUGAAAAAAAAAUUUCUCCCUUUCUUUAAAAAAAUAUUUAUAUAUAUAAUAUAAAAGAAAUCUGCAUAUACUGCCGCUUUUUAAUUAUUUAUUAUUGCAAAUUUGUGGACCUAGAACCUUAGGGGAAGUAGACGAUUGGGUAACUAGUUCACUUAUUUUAUUUUGAUGUGAUUAAAUUGCACUUUAGAUGAUUAUUGAAACUUUUUUGGGUAGUUAGUUUAAUGUGUUUUUCUGGUGGAAUUUCAUUAAUUUAAUAAUUUGUUUGUAACCUAUCUUUGCUGUUGCUGUUUUGAGUGAAGCUUGUUUAUGGAACGAAUGAAGUUUGUUUGUAACCUAACCCUUUUUUUGAUUUCAUUCACAGUUGUUUAGCAUCGCUGCUGCUGCUGCUGCCUGCUGCCUCCUGCUGCUGCUGCUGCUGGUAUUCUGAGCUUUGAAAGUUUGGAAAAUUUUGCUUAAAUGGAGGUAAAUAUUCGUUGCUGCUGCUAAUCUCUUUAAAUCUGUUUAUGUAAUCUGUAUAAAUCUGUUUUUGUAAUAUGUUUAAAUCUGUUUAUGUAAUCUGUAUAAAUCUGUUUUGUAAUCUGUUUAAAUCUGUUUUUGUAAUCUGUUUUUGUUUAAAUCUGUUUUGUAAUCUGUUUAAAUAUGUGUUUGUAAUCUGUGUUUGUAAUCUGUUUUUGUUUAAAUCUGUGUUUGUAAUCUGUUUAAAUCUGUGUUUGCAAUCUGUUUUUGUAAUCUGUUUUUGUAAUCUGUUUUUGUAAUCUGUUUUUAUAAUCUGUUUUUGUAAUCUGUUUUUGUAAUCUGAUUUUUGGAUAGGAUAUAUGUUUAGGGAGUUGUAUGCAUAGGAAAAUCUGUUUUGACAGUUUAAAUGUGUUUUUUUUAAUAGGAUAUAUGUUUAUGUUUUAAUAUGUUUAUUGCAUCUUAUUUCAAGUAUGAUUUGUUGAUGGUGAAACUUUGUGUUAAUUCUUUUAAGUGUUGUGUAGGUUGCUUUGUGAAGGCUUUUGGAAGAAUGGAUGCAGCAUAUUUUUUGCAAGGAUAUUAUCUCUAUGUGUAUUUUUGUGAUGGGUUGUAAUCUUUAAUGUCAUAAGUUUAAUUUGGUUUGUGUAUUAUUUUUUGUAAUGGUUUGUAAGAGAUUAUAUUUCCUUUCCUUGGUUGGUUGGUUGAAUGUGUGUGUGAGAUUUAUUUAGUCUAGAAACUUAGAUUGGAAUGAUGGAUUUUUAUAGCUUGAAUGUACAUAAUUUCAGGUUUUGAAAGACAAGUAAAAAUUGUUUUGGGC